rnacentral:rRNA from 1 species
AGAGUUUGAUCCUGGCUCAGAUUGAACGCUGGCGGCAUGCCUUACACAUGCAAGUCGAACGGCAGCACGGGGGCAACCCUGGUGGCGAGUGGCGAACGGGUGAGUAAUAUAUCGGAACGUGCCCUGGAGUGGGGGAUAACUAGUCGAAAGAUUAGCUAAUACCGCAUACGAUCUACGGAUGAAAGUGGGGGACCCGCAAGGGCCUCAUGCUCCUGGAGCGGCCGAUAUCUGAUUAGCUAGUUGGUGAGGUAAAGGCUCACCAAGGCAUCGAUCAGUAGCUGGUCUGAGAGGACGACCAGCCACACUGGGACUGAGACACGGCCCAGACUCCUACGGGAGGCAGCAGUGGGGAAUUUUGGACAAUGGGCGCAAGCCUGAUCCAGCAAUGCCGCGUGAGUGAAGAAGGCCUUCGGGUUGUAAAGCUCUUUUGUCAGGGAAGAAACGGUGAGGGCGAAUACCCCUUGCUAAUGACGGUACCUGAAGAAUAAGCACCGGCUAACUACGUGCCAGCAGCCGCGGUAAUACGUAGG